UCCAUAGAAGAACAAUAUAAAGAUUUUGCUGAAUGAGAACAAAAAACUGAUGGUGGAGCAGACUGUUCUGCCAGCAUCCUGUGUGGAGGCAAAGAGGUUCUGUGAAGAGGCCGGAAUGAACAUCUGUGUCCCCAGAGCCAAGCAGUUGCAGGUCCAGCAAGUAUCUGCAUAGCAAGAUUUCCUGAAGUGGAAAUGAGUACAGGCCAGGGCAGCACAGCCUGCUUGACUGUAAGAGACUUGUACAUAACAUAGCUCCCACUAAUUCUUCAUUCAACAGAAAACCUGCUGGAUAAAAGCCUUGGGCACGAAGUCAUUCAAGUUAAGGUAAAGAGAGCUGCUAUUAGAAGAAGCUGCACACUUUGGGGGCAAGCCUGAAACAGUGGCCAAGAACAGAGUCUAAUCCACCACCAACAUAUGAUCCUUUGCUGGGAAACAAGCCUGAUCUACACAGCCUUGGGAACGAGCUAAGCCAGAUUGGGGAAUAAGGCAAGAACCAUGAUUCUAUGUUGGUUUAUGGGAGGACAGCACAACACUGACUGAGUUGUUUAUAGGCUAUAGGCUAUGCCUGCUAUGUACAUAUCCCACUCAACAUUUGUUUUUAUGCCUUCAGAGAAUCCUGGGGGGUCUUUAUAUUAAGGAUUACCUCAGAAAGUAAACACUUGACUGCAAUGUACUAUGCUUAUAUUGUGUGAACACACAUGUGUUGUGUGUUUGGGAGUGUGUAUUAGUGUUUCUGUGUGUCUGUGUGUGUUUGUAUGUGCACACAGGUAUGCAUGCCUCCACUGACAUUACACUCAUCUAAUGACCAGAAUAAGGAAGGAUUAGAGGAAACAAUGCAGGACACUCUGAAGCAGAGAGAACUGAUCACCCAGGAAAGUGACUUGGGAGAAACAGUGUAGAAGAAUUGUGACAUCUUUGAGAUCAGGUAGGAACAUAGGCUGGCAGAAGCCAGUUGGGUUUCCUGUCCUAUAUAACUAUCCUUUGUGGGUGACUGACCACCUACAUGGUUUCAGCCUCAGUCAGCUAAAGAACUACUCAGAGUAUUAUUCUGGUACAGUUUAUAUGGAUUUUGUCCAUGAUGCAAUAUAUGUGAUCUUCAAGAUUUCUUGGUAUUUUCUACUUCUUCUUUCUCUUACCUCUGUGGUAAACUCUGAGAACAUUUUCUUUUCUGUUCUCUCACAAAUUGCCUUACAAUGACUAUACACAUACAGGGGUUCUGUUCUGUUUGUACACCACCAUCACCUUUAAUGCUCAGUGUGUACACUGGGAAGAUUUACACGGAGCCCAUUCUCAGUGAUUACAGGAUGUAUGCAGUGCCCAUGGUUUUGAUGUGAGAUGGUUUCUCUGUGUAUUUACAGAUACAGUGGUUACAAAUGGAACCUAGGCAGGUUCCUUCCUGCAAAAAUAAUCUGAACCUUCACUUCAAUUCUGAGCAGGUUCUCCAUAAGACAUCCACAUGGUAUUCUAGGUUGCUCAUAUCUCUCUUGAACUCAGAUUCAGACAUAGCCACAAUGUUGUUAUUCAAUAUAAUAUACCUGGACCAGUGACAAAAUAUGCUCAUUUUUCUUUUGAUUCCAGUACUGUGCAUAGUCCACAGUUCGAUUUCUAGCUGUUUUUAAAAGCUGAUAUAUAAAUCGAAGCCCAUUUACUCUAUGACACUUGGGGAUGCAGGAAAUGACCUCAGUUGACAGGUCUAAAAUUCUCCAGCGAAACUCGAACAUGGCAUAGACCAGAACAAGAUCUCCCUUGGAGAGCAGUGCCACAGGAGGAGUCUAAGUGUGCACAACAAAUACACCACUAUUACAUCGCAUCCUUAAUAUCCAUAGCAGUUGUGGGCUGCAUUUUCCUACUUUAGUUUGAUUUCUUUGGAUUGAAUAGGCCAUACUUUCAUCUCGGCUCUCCCGAGCAAGCGUGCACAUUUGAAGAAGCGUGCACAGAGAAGAGCUGAUGCACAUCAAUCGAGAACUGCUGAGCAUCCAGGAAGAGUGUGCACAUGUACAUUUGUACUUGUCCUGAAGGGUCACCCAGAAGAGUUUCAUGGAGAUCAGUCCACAACAUUGGAAAAACUUUGAGUCAAAGACUGUCAUAUGUUUUAUACUCAGUAUUGGAUGGCUUUGUCCUUCAUACCCUCACUCCAACAAGGCAGACCUACUUACAUUCCCCUUGAAAAGAUUAUUAC
ensembl:lncRNA